rnacentral:rRNA from 1 species
UACGUAGGGGGCGAGCGUUGUCCGGAAUUACUGGGCGUAAAGGGAGCGUAGGCGGUUUGUUAAGUUAGAUGUGAAAUACCCGUGCUCAACAUGGGGGGUGCAUCUAAUACUGGCAGACUUGAGUGCAGGAGGGGAAAGUGGAAUUCCUAGUGUAGCGGUGAAAUGCGUAGAUAUUAGGAGGAACACCAGUGGCGAAGGCGACUUUCUGGACUGUAACUGACGCUGAGGCUCGAAAGCGUGGGGAGCAAAC